rnacentral:ncRNA from 1 species
GACCAGAGUACGGGCGGGCUUUACAGCGUCAACAGCGUCCUGGUUGAGUAGCGGCACUGGUGGGAAAGGGUCUGCAACACCGCGCAGAUGGAUGGGGUAGAUAGCGUCCAUGGCCCGAACGGCUGUCAAAG